rnacentral:rRNA from 1 species
UUUGUUUAGAUUGAACGCUGGCGGCGUGCCUAAUNCAUGCAAGUCGAGCGGACAGAUGGGAGCUUGCUCCCUGAUGUUAGCGGCGGACGGGUGAGUAACACGUGGGUAACCUGCCUGUAAGACUGGGAUAACUCCGGGAAACCGGGGCUAAUACCGGAUGGUUGUUUGAACCGCAUGGUUCAGACAUAAAAGGUGGCUUCGGCUACCACUUACAGAUGGACCCGCGGCGCAUUAGCUAGUUGGUGAGGUAACGGCUCACCAAGGCGACGAUGCGUAGCCGACCUGAGAGGGUGAUCGGCCACACUGGGACUGAGACACGGCCCAGACUCCUACGGGAGGCAGCAGUAGGGAAUCUUCCGCAAUGGACGAAAGUCUGACGGAGCAACGCCGCGUGAGUGAUGAAGGUUUUCGGAUCGUAAAGCUCUGUUGUUAGGGAAGAACAAGUGCCGUUCAAAUAGGGCGGCACCUUGACGGUACCUAACCAGAAAGCCACGGCUAACUACGUGCCAGCAGCCGCGGUAAUACGUAGGUGGCAAGCGUUGUCCGGAAUUAUUGGGCGUAAAGGGCUCGCAGGCGGUUUCUUAAGUCUGAUGUGAAAGCCCCCGGCUCAACCGGGGAGGGUCAUUGGAAACUGGGGAACUUGAGUGCAGAAGAGGAGAGUGGAAUUCCACGUGUAGCGGUGAAAUGCGUAGAGAUGUGGAGGAACACCAGUGGCGAAGGCGACUCUCUGGUCUGUAACUGACGCUGAGGAGCGAAAGCGUGGGGAGCGAACAGGAUUAGAUACCCUGGUAGUCCACGCCGUAAACGAUGAGUGCUAAGUGUUAGGGGGUUUCCGCCCCUUAGUGCUGCAGCUAACGCAUUAAGCACUCCGCCUGGGGAGUACGGUCGCAAAACUGAAACUCAAAGGAAUUGACGGGGGCCCGCACAAGCGGUGGAGCAUGUGGAUUAAUUCGAAGCAACGCGAAGAACCUUACCAGGUCUUGACAUCCUCUGACAAUCCUAGAGAUAGGACGUCCCCUUCGGGGCAGAGUGACAGGGGUCGG